rnacentral:rRNA from 1 species
CGCCAGACUCCUACGGGAGGCAGCAGUGGGGAAUAUUGCACAAUGGGGGAAACCCUGAUGCAGCAACGCCGCGUGAAGGAAGACGGUUUUCGGAUUGUAAACUUCUAUCAAUAGGGAAGAAAGAAAUGACGGUACCUAAAUAAGAAGCCCCGGCUAACUACGUGCCAGCAGCCGCGGUAAUACGUAGGGGGCAAGCGUUAUCCGGAUUUACUGGGUGUAAAGGGGGCGCAGACGGCGAUGCAAGCCAGGAGUGAAAGCCCGGGGCCCAACCCCGGGACUGCUCUUGGAACUGCGUGGCUGGAGUGCAGGAGGGGCAGGCGGAAUUCCUGGUGUAGCGGUGAAAUGCGUAGAUAUCAGGAGGAACACCGGUGGCGAAGGCGGCCUGCUGGACUGCAACUGACGUUGAGGCCCGAAAGCGUGGGGAGCAAACAGGAUUAGAUACCCUUGUAU